rnacentral:rRNA from 1 species
GAUGAACGCUGGCGGCGUGCUUAACACAUGCAAGUCGAACGGGAUCCAUCAGGCUUUGCUUGGUGGUGAGAGUGGCGAACGGGUGAGUAAUGCGUGACCGACCUGCCCCAUACACCGGAAUAGCUCCUGGAAACGGGUGGUAAUGCCGGAUGCUCCAGUUGAUCGCAUGGUCUUCUGGGAAAGCUUUCGCGGUAUGGGAUGGGGUCGCGUCCUAUCAGCUUGACGGCGGGGUAACGGCCCACCGUGGCUUCGACGGGUAGCCGGCCUGAGAGGGCGACCGGCCACAUUGGGACUGAGAUACGGCCCAGACUCCUACGGGAGGCAGCAGUGGGGAAUAUUGCACAAUGGGCGCAAGCCUGAUGCAGCGACGCCGCGUGAGGGAUGGAGGCCUUCGGGUUGUAAACCUCUUUUAUCGGGGAGCAAGCGUGAGUGAGUUUACC